rnacentral:lncRNA from 1 species
UCCCUCCUUCGUCCUCGCAAGCAUCGCACCAGAUCGCCCGCACCGGCCGGUAGGAGCAAGGAAGGGAGAUCCACCUAACCUAUCAAUGGCGGCCGCUGCUUCCUCCAGCGCCUGGAAGGCCAGGUGGCUCCGCCCGGAGGUACGCACCGAUCCUCUCAUCUGAUCUUAGCUUAGCUUUAGCGAUCUCGCUGGAAUUUCUUGGAUGGUUGUCUUGCGAUGGACGACGGUCAUGGUCUCACGACGGUAGCAUAUGUUCUUGGCAGGCGUACCCGAUCUUCGCGGCGACGGGCGUGGCCGUGGGGAUCUGCGUGAUGCAGCUGGUGCGAAACAUCACCACCAACCCCGAGGUCAGGGUGACCAAGGAGAACCGGGCGGCCGGGGUGCUGGACAACCACGACGAGGGACGCCGCUACGCGCGCCAUCCCUUCAGGAGGU